rnacentral:rRNA from 1 species
UACGAAGGGGGCUAGCGUUGCUCGGAAUUACUGGGCGUAAAGGGCGCGUAGGCGGCCUUGUCAGUCGGACGUGAAAUUCCUGGGCUCAACCUGGGGACUGCGUUCGAUACGGCGAGGCUAGAGGACUGAAGAGGUUCGUUGAAUUCCCAGUGUAGAGGUGAAAUUCGUAGAUAUUGGGAAGAACACCGGUGGCGAAGGCAGCGAGCUGGUCCGUUACUGACGCUGAGGCGCGACAGCGUCGGGAGCAAACAGG